UCUUUUUAAGCACUUUAUAAUAAUCUCUCCCAAAAAUCACAAUGAAAAACAUGGUUACUAUGAUAUUCUGUUUUAUUCAUACUGUUUAAGGCAAUGGAACUGGUGGUUCACCAUCACCAUGACGAACCCUGAGACCUUCAAAACCAAGACAUCUACCGUCAACCAUGAGCCAUCCACAACCAACCAUGAGCCUCUUCCAUUUCUCCAAAGAGAGUUGGCCCAUGGUUCCAAAAAAAAAGUGCUGAUGCUGCUUACUGAGAUAAGGGACACCGUCAGGCAUCAAGACCAUAGGGCAGCACAAGAAGAGAACAUCGACAUUGUACAGAUAAAAUCUCUGGUUGCCUUCAUUGUCCUUGAACAGAAGGUGACGGAAGAUUCUUCUGCUUCUGCAGAACUGAAUGUGUCUUAAACCACGAGGGGACCCUGAGUGAUGUACAAAGUGCGGUCACGUCAUGCCUGAAAUACGCGCCUGACAGAUGCGGUGGCAGUGGCAGGAAACAGGACGGGAGGAACCCAGGUGGACAGUAAAUAUGAGAGACACAGUGAAAUAUAAUUUAUUUUGUUUGAAAAAUAAAUUAAGCAAAAACUCAUUUGUUCUAAAUGACAGAAAAAAAGUAUUCUAAAUGUUAAACAUACAUGUAUUUGGGCUGAAUAACCUAAUUUGUAAUUGUCUGUAGUUUGAAAAACAGUUUGGUUUCACACCGCAACUAGAAUGCUUUAAUGGAUCAAUUUCCAUGUAGCCUGGCACUGGUGUUUCUGUAUUCCAAGGCAACGAAUGUAUGUGGGAUUGUCACAUUAAUGCAAUUUACGAAUACAAUGGAGAAGCAAUGUUUCAGUUCUUUAGGACAGUUCUAUAGAACUUUCUUCAGAACACAGUUCUAUAGAACUUGGGUCCUAAAGUUCUGUUGAGUUUAUAUAGCAUUUCUAUGGAAUGUUUCUAUAGAAUUUCUUUAGAACUUUUCGAUACAAUAUUUUUAGCAGGGGUUGAUUGAUGAGGUUAAGGAUAUGAUCCAGGAAGUGUUGGCAGGCAGCAGAGUGGACGAAACAGACGGCUGGCUUGUUGGCAGGAAUGAAGAGGGUCCUACCAUUUAAUAAACUGUUUUUUGAAAUGAACAGUAUUUGUCUGAUGCCUCUCAUAAUUUCAAAGUCAGGGAUUUAUAUAUACACAUGUAUUAAUUUUCUGUUAAUUCGGGAGUUAAACAGCGUCAUAUGACAUAAAAUGUGGCUUUGUAAAUAUCAAACAUGUAAUACGGUUCAUUUCGGCAUUCUAGGGCUAGUGUAGGUCAUGGAUCAUGUCACACUACAAGACAUUUUGCCGUUCUUGAGUAUGACAGGGCAAUCUGGGAAACGGGCUGCAAUUGUUAAUAGGGCCAAUAUCAGCGCUAAAACGAGACAUGCCAAGUUUAAACUGAAAUCUUUGUAUUGUUUCAUUUUUGUUUGAAAUUACUUUGCUGGAAAAGUUUGUAAACAUGUAAAUACAGUUUGCUGCCAUGCAUAAUGUGAAAUUAUAAAAAAUGCUAUUACCCAAAUGACGAAAACAAUGGGUCAUUCGGUAUUAAAAACAAUGUCUCAUUCGUAAUUGCUCUUAAACCAAACAAGAUAUUUAAUCCAAAUAAUUGAUUACAG